rnacentral:misc_RNA from 1 species
UCACCACCAGCGGCGGUGGCGGCGGCCAGGUCCAGAGCGGCGGCAACAGCUCCCAGAGCAACGGCACCACCUACAAAAUCGAGAUGCUCGACGAGGACAUCCAGUCCCUGGGCUCCGAGGACGACGAUGAGGAUCUCAUCAGCAGCGAUGGCAGUCUCUAUGAGGGCGAUCUCGGCCCCCUGCCCGUCAACGACGAUGUCGCCCAUCAGCUGGCCGCCGCUGGGCCAGUGGGCGUGGCAGCCGCUGCCGCCAUUGCCAGUUCCAAGAAGCGAAAGCGUCCACACUGCUUCGAAACGAAUCCCUCGGUGCGGAAGAGGCAACAGAACCGUUUGUUGAGGAAGCUGAGAGGCAUCAUCUACGAGUUUACGGGCCGGGUGGGCAAGCAGGCGGUGGUGCUGGUGGCCACGCCGGGGAAACCCAACACCAGUUACAAGGUAUUUGGGGCCAAGCCGCUGGAGGAUGUGCUGCGGAAUCUGAAGAACAUUGUGAUGGACGAGCUGGACAAUGCACUGGCCCAGCAGGCGCCACCACCGCCCCAGGACGAUCCCUCGCUGUUCGAGUUGCCCGGUCUGGUAAUUGAUGGUAUACCCACUCCGGUGGAGAAGAUGACCCAGGCCCAGUUGCGGGCAUUCAUUCCGCUGAUGCUCAAGUAUUCCACUGGAAGGGGCAAGCCCGGCUGGGGCAGGGAGUCCACUCGACCGCCAUGGUGGCCCAAGGAGCUGCCCUGGGCCAAUGUACGGAUGGAUGCCAGGUCCGAGGAUGACAAGCAGAAGAUCAGCUGGACCCAUGCCCUGAGGAAGAUCGUGAUCAACUGCUACAAGUACCAUGGACGGGAGGAUCUGCUGCCGACGUUCGCCGAUGAUGAGGACAAGGUGAACGCCCUGAUCUCGCAGUCGGGCGAUGAGGACGAGGACAUGGAGCUCUCCAAUCCACCAACUAUACACACGGUGACCACCAUGACACCACCCACGGGCAACAGCAAUCAACCGCAACAGGUCAACGUCGUUAAGAUCAACAGCGCCGGCACAGUGAUCACCACGCACACGGCCCAGAGCAACACCCCAGCCCCCACGAUCAUCCAGAGCACCAAUAACCAGCACGUGACCACCACGGCCACGCUGCCCGCCUCCACAAAGAUCGAGAUCUGUCAGGCCCCAGCCCCGCAGCAGCAACAACAGCAGCAGCAACAGAGCCAACAGCAGCAGCAACAUCAUCAUCAGCAACAGCAUCAGCAGCAACAGAGCCAACACCAUCAGACUACGGGACUGCCAAGCACCGUUCAUAUCCAGCCGGUGAGCGGAGGACAGCCGCAGACCAUCCAACUGACCACCGCCAGUGGCACGGCCACGGCGACAGCGGUCCCGACAACAGCAGCUGCCCGAAUGGGUUUUGUGCGAAUGCGUUUGCACAUCAUCGAGUUAUUGGUUAUUUUCGUCAUUAUUUGCAUCCCAACACACACAAUCGAACAAACACACUAUUACCCGCACAUUAUACCACCCAGACGGUUCUCUCGCAGAAUGCCGAUGGCACUGUGUCCCUGAUCCAGGUGGAUCCCAAUAAUCCCAUCAUUACCCUGCCGGAUGGAACCACAGCUCAGGUUCAGGGCGUGGCAACGCUCCAUCAAGGCGAGGGCGGCGCCACCAUCCAGACAGUACAGAGUCUCACCGACGUCAAUGGCCACGAGAACAUGACCGUGGACCUCAC